ACUUUUUAGCACCCAAAAAAAAUUAAGUUUUAAAACUGCAAUGUGACAGCAGUAUUUGACGAUUCUAUUUGACUCUCAGAUAUGAAGUGCACCCCACUAAUGUACUACCCCACUAAUGUACUAUUUAGCACCAAAAAAAAUUUACUUUUUAAAACUUCGAUGUAACCGCGGUAUUUGAAGCUACUAUUUGACUCUUAGAUAUGAAGUGCAGC